AAUAUAUAUGCAGCAGCCACCUGGAGAAAGAAGAAAGGGCGGCUCAUAUCAGUGCUUCCCCUUUCCUCUUCCCAUGGCAGCAUGGCUUCCCUGUCCUGGCUUUCAUCCUCAGAACAGGAAAUCUCAACUUUGCCCACACUUCUUGAGAUGGUUUAAGACAGCUUUAUAUAUGAACACCUGAAAACAAGACAGCUUGAGAACCAUGAUUUACUUCAUUUUGAAGUUAAUUUAAAUUCUCUAGGUAUUUUGUAUCUGAAAGGCAAAAUUCUUCUGCCCUUUACAUAAGAAAUUACACAUCAAGAAAUGAAAUCAAGUUUUUCUACAUUUCGGGACACACCUUAUCCUUCAGGAUGUCACGUGAGGGACAGUGAAGUCUCACUGCUAUAGACAGCUACUUGGGUUCUCAUUUUAAGAGUUCCCUGAGUAGAAGCACUUCAUCUCUCUGAAGAAUUCCUGAUAGCUCAUCUCCAGUUCUCCCAACAGUCCUGGUAGAAAACCAGCACAGUAUUAAACUCGGAGCAGAGCUGAAUUUCUACAGGAGCUGAAGAGGCAGAAAGCUUGCUUAAAUGUUUUGAAGUCACAACCUAUGUUCUUUCUAUUAAGAAUUUUAUCUCAAAUCUUCUAUAGCAAGCAGCUGUAUGAAACGGCUGACCAAGGAGAGUCACAGACCUGGGAACUUCUAUGAGUUGUCUCAUCCUUAAAGACUGGAAAUGAAAUGCCUCUUACAUACACUUCUGCACAAUGAAAUGCUGAAGUUUGCCUAUCCCAAG
rnacentral:lncRNA from 1 species